rnacentral:rRNA from 1 species
UACGUAGGGUGCGAGCGUUGUCCGGAAUUAUUGGGCGUAAAGAGCUCGUAGGCGGUCUGUCGCGUCGAUCGUGAAAACUUGGGGCUUAACCCUGAGCUUGCGGUCGAUACGGGCAUGACUGGAGUUCGGCAGGGGAGACUGGAAUUCCUGGUGUAGCGGUGAAAUGCGCAGAUAUCAGGAGGAACACCGGUGGCGAAGGCGGAUCUCUGGGCCUUACCUGACGCUGAGGAGCGAAAGCGUGGGGAGCGAACAGG